GGGGCUGAAACAGAGCAAAUUAUAAUCCAUGGAUGUAUGAUUGUCAAAAUGAACCCAAUAUUAUGUAUAACUAUAAUGCACUAAUAAAAACACUUGGGUGUGUGUGUGUGUGUGUGUGUGUGUGUGUGUGUGUCCCCA
rnacentral:sRNA from 1 species